rnacentral:misc_RNA from 2 species
AACGCACCUUGCACUCCUUGGUAUUCCGAGGAGUAUGCCUGUUUGAGUGUCAUUAAAUUCUCAAGCUUCAACCUUGUUGUAAUGACUUGGUUUGUUGUUUGGACUUGAGGGUUGCCGCGAGUUCUUGGACUUUUGAACGGCUCCCUUUAAAUGCAUUAGUGGUGACUUGGAUCCACUAUCAAAUGUGUUGAUAGUUAUCUACACUUUGAAGUGACCGAUUGUCUUUCCGCUUCUAACUGUCCCUUGGGACAAUAUCUUGAAAUUUGACCUCAAAUCAGGUAGGACUACCCGCUGAACUUAA